UGAAUAAGUGCACAUGGUGGAUGCCUUGGCGAUUACAGGCGAUGAAGGACGUAGUAGCUUGCGAUAAGCUGCGGGGAGUGAGCAAACACACUUUGAUCCGCAGAUUUCCGAAUGGGGAAACCCGGCCCUUUGGGUCAUUGCAUACUGAAUACAUAGGUAUGCAAAGCGAACGCGGCGAACUGAAACAUCUAAGUAGCUGCAGGAAAAUAAAUCAACCGAGAUUCCCAAAGUAGUGGCGAGCGAAAUGGGAAGAGCCUGC
rnacentral:rRNA from 1 species